UAGGCGUACGGGUGAGUAACACGUGGAUCAUCUGCCCUGGAGUGGGGAAUAACGAUGGGAAACCGUCGCUAAUACCGCAUAAUCCCGAGAGGGGAAAGCAGAAAUGCGCUCAAGGAGGAGUCCGCGGCCGAUUAGCUUGUUGGUAGGGUAAUGGCCUACCAAGGCUGCGAUCGGUAGCCGGCCUGAGAGGGCACACGGCCACACUGGCACUGAAACACGGGCCAG
rnacentral:rRNA from 1 species